UGAGUCGGCCGGGUGGCCGCGGCUCGGGUUCGCUAUGGCGGAGACCGGGUCGAGGAAGGUCGGGGCUCCACAGGGCAGGGUGCUGGCUAACGGCCAGUCGGGGUGACCCGCAGGAAAGUGCCACAGAGAACAAACCGCCGAUGGCAGGCCGAUGGCCCGCACAGGUAAGGGUGAAACGGUGCGGUAAGAGCGCACCAGCGGCUGGGGCAACCCGGUCGGCUCGGCAAACCCCACCCGGAGCAAGGCCGAGACGUGGGAAGGGUUGUCCGCCCGCUGCCCUUCGGGGGAGCACCCACAGGUGGGCCGCUCAGAUGGAUGGCCACCCCGCCAGCCGGUCCUCGGAUCGGCCGGCGGACAGAACCCCGCCUACAGGCCGGCUCACCGU
rnacentral:RNase_P_RNA from 1 species